UUCCCAGCAACCACAUAGUGGCUCCCAACCAUGUAUAAUGGGAUCUGAUGCCCUCUUCUGUCAUGCAGGCACACAUGCAGAUAGAGCACUCAUAUGCAUAAAUAAGUAAAUCUUAAAAAAUAAAUAAAAUAAAAAUGAAACAUAUUUCAUAAGCUAUAGAGAUAUGGGUGAUACUGAUCCUAGGAAAGAUUCUCAAAUAAAAUACAAGGGUUAUGUGUAACUAGACAGAACAAGAGAACGGGAAGUUGUCAGUCAGACUCACUGUGGGUUUACUGAGAACAAGUCAUAUCAAAACAAUUUAAUUUCCUUCUAUGAUGAGGUUACUAAAUUGACAAAUAACAAAAUACAGAUAAUGUGUAACUUCAGCAAGUUUUUUAACAAAAUCUGUCAUUAUACCUUUGGGGAUAAAAUAGAGAAAAUGACCAGAAGGAUAAUGUAAUGAGGUGGUCUUCAAGAGUCAGUGGUACUGGUGAGUAGAGCCCCAUAGCCUAGAAUUCAUUUCCUAUUGAUGGAGCUAAGUGAUUUAUCCUUGAUCUUGCCCUAUUCAAUGUUCUUGACACUAAUUUCAUUCAAAACUAGAGAACAUUGUGGCCAUCAAUUGUGUGGAUGGCACAGACCUGGGACAGUGUACAAGGACUGGGCAGAAUUGAGACCUAAAAAGAACCAGAUGAGUGAGCCAAACCUAAUGAAAAGAAUAAAUGUUGGAUUAUGCACUCAGGCCAAAAAUUAUCUGGGAAAGUUUAAGAUUAUAAAGAUGUAAUUUGGUCACAUUACCAUGGGGUAGGGAGAGAGAGAGAGAUUUAAACAUUGCAGCAAAGAAAAAAAAAUCCAGUAUGAGUUAUUCAUGCCAAAAAGCAAUACAAUCUUAAGCUAGUUUGGUUGAAUGAAGUCUCUAGAAUAAGGAGGUAAUUGAUUUCACUCUGCUUGGUUCAUUCCGCAUCUUCAGUAUUCCAUCUCAAGCAGCAAUCAAGAGAUGAAAAAAUCCGAGGCCAGAUCACAUGGGAAACGGUUAGAGGGAACAGGCGGAUUUUGUCAAGAGAAGGGAUGAUCUGAAGAAAGAACAGAUGUGUACAAAAUACUUGGCUUAAGGGACCAUCACAUGAAUGAAGGGUCAGAUUAGUUUUCUGAGCUCCAAGAACAAACAGGACCAGCGAGUUCAAACUAUAGGGAGGAAGAUUCCAGAGUUAUAUUGAGGGGGGGGGGGGGGACACCACUAUAAUCAGGAUUGUCCAGAUGUGAAGAGUCCCUGGAAAGGUACAGAACAUGCUGUCCCUGGAUGUCCAAAGAUAAGUUAUACACUAUUUUCAGAGAUCUCAUAGAGGAGAUGAACGUUCUCACUGGAUAGCGAAAGAAAGAUUAAGCUUCCAGCUACACCUAUGGGAAACAAGAAUGCCGGCUUCCUCCUCCCCACCUCUACUCCUGAACUUUCUGUGGUGACAUUCAGGGAUCUCUCAUCUAUGCCCUCGCUUUGUGUUAAGAGGAGGUGCUACAUAUCAGGAAGCAUGGAGGCUCUCAAAAACCUAGCUUAUCAGUCUCCAAACAACAUCCUAUGGUCAUGUUACUUUAUAAAAUAUGUAAUUUGAUCCCCACACUGUGAGGUGGACAGGAAAGACAUCAUUGGAAAACUGAGGCUCAGAGAAAAUCACUCCAAGCAAAUUAGAGGUAAAAUGGGAAGCCAAACCCAGGUCUUCGGGCUCCUGGGACAAAACACCUGGUACCCUGACCUGAGGAGUUUUGCUGACACAGAGAAGACAGAGCCUGGAGCUUUGAAGGCAGGGUUUUAAGGCUAUGGACUCCAGGGCCCUAGAGACUUUGGCUACCCACUAGCUUUUCUUUGUUGCCUCUGGCUGUUGUGUUUGCCGCCUCCAGCUGUGUGUCUCCGUCGCCAGCCCUUGUAUCUGCCACCUCCAGCUGUGAUCCGAAGUUCCCAGCUGUUAUGCCACCUCCUACAGCCAAGCCACUUUGUUCUCAGGGGUGGCCAGACUCAGAAACAGAUAAACAAUCAGCAAGCUCCACCCCCAAGCUGGCCAGGCCUCUGGGGGAAAGGAAGCCAGCCAAAGUUCUGGAAGUGGUUUGCGGCUGCCCGACCAAAAAACAUACAUCCUGUUUCCUCUAGAGGGUGCACUUUCUCCAACACAGUCCCAACCACGCCGUGGGGUUGGCAUUCUAAAGAGCAGCCUGAACAAUGAGACGACGGAAUCCGGCUGUCUGCCUCCUUUCUUCUAUGAGAAGUGAGCUAAUUCUUUCCCUAAAGCAAAGGUCAGCCCUGAGGACGGUGAUGUUCAUUCCUCCAGCAAACUCUAGGUCUAUCUUUGGUUUCACACUGUCAGCUCCCCCUAGAGCUAGAUUUCCUAACCUACAAGCACUUUUAUUUUAUGCCAGCCACGUAUGCUCGCAGAGUGAAUGGAUUUAUCACCGCCUUUCUCAAGUGCUUGAUCGUUCACGAGACAAGACAGCUCUUGUGACUGAAAUUGGCCAAGGUCCUCCAUUGUUUUUAGGAUAAACUGCAAGCCUUUGGCAUGGCAGUCGAGAGACCAGGCUGGCCUUGAAGAGAUCCACCUGCCUCUGCCUCCAGAGUGCUGGGACUAAAGCCACCACACCUGGCUUCUACUCACUUCUUGGCCUUACCCUUGACAGUCUUCUACACAUCCUUAGCCUUCAGCUCUACGGAAAAACCCCAUGGUCUGAUUCUUUCCACCUUUGGAUCUGCUUUUGUACGGCUCAACUCCCUGCCUGUGUGACGACCUCCCGCCUGCCUUUCACAGCCUGGACCAAGUGUUUAGUGAUGCCUUUGGAAGCCUUCCUCACACUCAGGGGAAUAGUUUUUCUCUGUGUCCCUACCCCCGCAUCACCCUGACACGAGUUUUCUAAGCAUGCUCUUGCCUGAAUUCCACUUUAUAAUACCACAGUGCUUUGCAAUGUUUAUUUGCCUUUAUUUGCCAUCUGUGAACUCUUAAUUGAAGGCCAUGGACUAUGUAUGCCUGUAUCUGUUCCACCAGAAGCAAGUCUUUUUCAAGACCGAGGGAGAAAUGACUAAAGGUGCCGUCUGGACAGGUCUGAGCGGGGCUGCCGCCUUGAUGCACCACACCGGAGAUGACCUCCUGAAGACCUUCAGGAGGAGCUGUGACAGGGAAGAGGGGAUCCAAGCUCACUCAGGCAUGACUAAUGCUGCAAAUGUCUGCAGAUCCUUUCAGAAGGUGAAGGAAAGACAGCUCAGAGACGUCAGUGCCAACCCUUCUGUGGGUCAGCUGACUUGGGGGGCAGGGCAGGAGCGUGGUAAAAGAGUGGGUUUUAACACUGCUGCAUGGGGACUGGGAAGGUUAAGUUAAGUUAGCAGAGGGCUUGCAUGGCAUGCAUGAGGCCCUGCGUUUGGUCCCCAACAGUGCAUAAAGCAGAAAUGGUGGCACAGCUGUGAUCCCAAUGCUCAGGAGGUUGAGCCAAGAGAAUGAGAGGUUCGAGGUUAUCCUUGGCUACGUAGCAAGUCUAAAGCCAGACUGGGCUACCUGAGACCCUGUCUCAAAAGUUAAGAAAUGGCUCAGAGGUUAAGCGCACUGGCUGCUCUUUCAGAGGUCCUGAGUUCAAUUCCCAGCAACCAUAUGGUGGCUCACAACCAUCUGUAAUGAGCUCUGGUGCCCUCUUCUGGUAUGCAGGCAUACAUGGAGGCAGAAUGUUGUAUACAUAAUAAAUAAAUAAAUCUUUUAAAAAA